rnacentral:rRNA from 1 species
UAGGGAAUCUUCCGCAAUGGACGAAAGUCUGACGGAGCAACGCCGCGUGAGUGAAGAAGGAUUUCGGUUCGUAAAACUCUGUUGUUAGGGAAGAAAAAAUGUAUAGUAACUAUAUACAAAAGAGACGGUACCUAACCAGAAAGCCACGGCUAACUACGUGCCAGCAGCCGCGGUAAUACGUAGGUGGCAAGCGUUGUCCGGAAUUAUUGGGCGUAAAGCGCGCGCAGGUGGUUUAGAAAGUCUGAUGUGAAAGCCCACGGCUCAACCGUGGAUGGUCAUUGGAAACUAAUAAACUUGAGUGCAGGAGAGAAAAGUGGAAUUCCUAGUGUAGCGGUGAAAUGCGUAGAGAUUAGGAGGAACACCGGUGGCGAAAGCGGCUUUUUGGCCUGCAACUGACACUGAGGCGCGAAAGCGUGGGGAGCAAACAGG